GUGCAAUAUUCUGUUGAGGGGUGGAAGCAGCUCUCAGUGAGAUGGAUGGGAAGGCAAGAAAGGGGAUGGAGUGGAAAGAUGGUCUUCCCCUGGAGUUGGGCUGCCCAGCCCCCAGACUCUCCUCCGACUGCCCACAACCGAAUUCCAUAUCUUCCUGCCACCAAUGGUCUGCUAUACAGGAAGCAUGAGGCUGGCAUCUGCAUCGCGUCUAUGGAGGCCUCAGGAAAUUUACAAUCAUGGUGGAAGGCAAAGCAGAAGCCAGCACUUCACAUGGCCAGAGAAGGAAGAGGAAAGAGAAAUGGAAUGGCUACAGAUUUUUAAACAACGAGAUCUGUGAGAACUCACUCCCGAUAAUGAGAAGAGCACCAGAGGUGAUGUUGCGAAACCAUUCAGGAGAAACCACUCCCAUGAUUCAAUCACCUCUCACCAGGCUCCACCUGCAACUAGGGAAUUAGGGAUUACAAUUUGACAUGAGAAUUAAGUGGGGACACAAACCCAAACCAUACCACUUGUUUCCUUCAACACCGUAUACCUUGUCAAUCAAUGUAUUGCCAAGAUGAUGGGUGAUGAUAUCUCCUAAAUAAUUUGAGAUAUUAUACAUGUGGCAGAUCUCAGUUUAAACAUUGCUUUCUCCAUGAAGCUUUCCAUUUCUUUCCUACACACACAUCUAUAACAUCUAUGCCCAAUGAGUUUGUUCCUUGUGCUCAAUUCCUUCCAUACUUCUCCACUUUUAAUCUUAGCAUCUUUAUGAUGACAGAGGCUUUUAUGUUUUCAUUUCCCACUAUUACCCCUAAGCCCAGUAGAGAGAACAGAGAAUAGGCCUAACAGAAAUCUGUUGCAUGUUUGAUAAAUAUUGAAGAAAAUCCUGUGCUUGAUUUAGCAUUUUCUGCCUGACUAUCUGUAUCUAGGUGAAUUGCAUUGAUAUGAAUUUGGAAUGAAGCCCUACUUUAGAUGCUAAUCACUAUAACUUUAGUUUGCAAUUCUAAAUUCUUUUUAUAUAAGUGGAGAUUAUUAGAAAUGAUUUUAAUAAAUAUACAAAAUCAUUUGUGAAAUGGUUCUUUAUCCUAAACAGUGUUAGUAGACAGCAUUCAUACACAACUUUUUUCACUUAUUCCUAACUACAAAAAUAAAACAAUAAUCCACAGCUUGGCACAUUCUAGAUUUAAAACGAUUGCACUGAUGCCCAGUUUUUGCUGACAUAGGGAGAAUGACCUACAUCACUUUCUGAAACCCCUUUAUAGACAUUAUCACAAAAAAAUGCUGUACUGAAUGUUGGCACUGGCUGUCACUAGAACAGUCUUGGGCAGACUGGACAGUUGGUCACAACAGUCAGUGUUGGCCGAAUCUGAGAUCUAGUAUCUUCUUUUAAUGGCCACCUUGAUCCAAAACUGGUAUUGACCAGGUAUGUUAAAGAAUGUCAUGAAAGCAGGGAAAGCUUCCAUCUCGAUAGAAAGGGGGCAUUGGAUUUACCAGGCUUUCCUGGCCGACAUGGAUAUUCCUACAGAUUGUUUCUUGUUACCUUCUCUCAGGCUCAUUGACAUCAAGGGCAAGUCAUAGCAGAAAGUCAUGCUUUUUUUUUUAAACUUAGCAUUGAUUGUCUAUUAUUUAUAAAGAACCAGAUUCUAUCCUAUUUCUGUAAUAUCAGCCAUGGCAGCCAUCUGAUGGUAAUAAUUUAACCAUCUGCAACCUCAACCAUUUAGUAAACUGUUUGCAAAAAAUAAACCACAAAAUGAAAUGCAAAUUGUAUGAAAUCAGAGUCACAUAUUUCUCUAAUUAAUAUUGCUCCCUUAGGGAAUUAUAGGUUACUUUCAGCAACAUUCAUUUUACUGAAAUCUUCUCUGAAAAUGCUAUUUCAAGAAUAUAGCAUUAAAUUUUUAGGUGGAAAUAAUGUGUUUUCUUCAGAAAUGUAUCCACAGUAAGUCUUCACUUAACAUUGUCAAUACCUUCUUGGAAACUCUGACUUCCAAUACAAUGCCAUAUAACAAAACCAAUUUUAACACAUAGGCUCAUUGAUAUCAACAAGAUUUAAGUUAACAGGACAUAUUUGUUUCCUUCUUUUUAAGAGACGAGAUCUUGCUAUGUUGCCUGGCUUGGAGUGCAGUGGCUAUUUACAGGUGCCAUUAUAGCACUCAACAGCCUCAAACUUCUGCUCUUAUAUGAUCCCCCUGCUUCAGCCUCUCUAACAGCUGGGACUAGAGGUAUGCAGCACCAUGCCCAGCUCCCUAUGGCCUAUUUCUGGACACAAAACAUCACCGAACUUCUAAAUAAAGACCCAAAGCAUUUCCAGUGUUAAACACUGAAAUAAAUGGGAGCUAUCAGUACCUUUAAGAAGGGUUAAUUAAAAUCAAGUCAGAUAAUUACUUGCUCGAUUUUUCAUGAAUUAGUGAGGGACGGCAGUCUUAGCAUAGUGAGUUAAAUCGACGAAUUAAUGUUUUCAAAGACAACAUUGUCAGGAGCAUCUCCCACCACCAUGCAGUUUAAGCACAGCUAUGAAUAUGGUGGGCUUGCUAAGUGCUUUGUACUGCGUCAUUUAUAGUCAUUAAUUGGUAUGAUUAUGGGAAACGACGUUUUAUUUUACAAUAAUUUGUAUUCAUUUAUUUAUUCAUUUUUGUCAUCAGCUUUAUAUGAAACAGUAAUGACCAAAACAAUGUUAUUUGAGGACCUGCUGUAUAAUGCUUUGCUGCAAGACGUUGUAAUGCCUACAAGAUGAAAUCCAGUAUGUUUAGUUUGACUUUCAAAGGCCUCUUGAGGUGGUCUGAAAAUAAGCAUCCCAAAGUCUCUUUAUGAUCUCCCUGGAAACAUUCUCCAUUUCUGCCUAGUAGGUCAACAGCCAUUCUGCAGACACUACCAGUACUAUGUUUUGCACAUAGUAGGCAUGGCAUAAACAAAUGUGGAAUGGAAAAAUUAAUGGAGUCAAGUUUGUAUUGGACUUCCUCUUUACACACAGCAUGCUCCCUUUGCCUCUGUAUAUAAGUGCAUCGUUUUUACCAGAGCAUCUCUAAUAUAUUUCAGUUCUGACAUGUAAUAUUUAACAAAUUUACUGUGACAGAUGUUUAUAUGUAUGAUUUAGGCCGUGUUGAUAUAAAUACAUAUUUUUUUGAUACUUAUAGUCACCCACCUAGACUUUGAGCCACUAGAAGGAUGUGUUUACAGAGAGUGCUGGGCAUAGUAUUUAGAUCUUUAUCCCAGAAAUUGCCUAGACAGUGUCAAAAUAGCAGAUGGUCUUUGAUUCUUCCUCCCCAACAUGGUCUUCCAACUCUUGCUCCUCCUCUUUUCCCUUAUUUAACACAUGUUCCAAACUGGUCCUGUAUCUUCACUCGUCAAUGACAAUAUACUUAAAACUUACCUCCCUACUCCUUUCUUUGCUCUAUUCUCAAACCCAAAUUUCUGUUUAAAUAUUUAAUUGUUCAUUACAUUGAUUUAACCAUUACACAUUUUAUACAUGUAUCAAGAUAUCACACUGUACCCCAUUAAUAUAUACAAUUAUGUGUCAAUUAAAAAUGAUAAAAGCAAAAAAGGAAUGUUCAAAAGUUUCUACAAAAAAAAAUUAAUUGCUACCCAAAAAGUAGAAAUAAAAAGUUUUAUUAAAUAUCAGAGUUCACACCAAAGUUAAUGACAUACUUGGAAGUAUUUUAGUUUUCAAAAGGCAAUUGUUAAACCAAAUACAUGUCUAUAUUUUAAAGUUUCAAGUAGUUGGUAUUGAUAGUUUUUAAACAGUUAGAUGAGGUGGAGGAAUAAGAGUAUGUGUGUGUGUGUGUGUGUGUGUCUGUGUGUGUCUGUGUGUGUGGUGGGGGUAUGCCUGCUAGGAAGACAAGUAUUUCUUUUUUGCCGUUAU
ensembl:lncRNA